AUCUGUACCCACACGAGAAACCCUCGGCAAGGGUGACCAUUUGUUUAACUUGUCAUACUAACCAGGUCACCUUGGACACAGACAAGGUAGUCAUUUAUUCAGGUGUAAACCGGGACACUCCCAGGCAAGUCUGGGCAUGGGGUCACCCUACUUCCCAGCCACAUGACAGAGCCAGCUGGAGACGGAGCCCACUGCUGCGCCUAGGGGAAAUGAGCCCCUUUGGAGUUGUUGAUGCUGGAAGGCUGUCACCAUAGCAACAAGGUCAAUGGGAACCGGCAGCCGUGCGUAGGCUUAAUUCUCACUGUAUCCCUGUCGACAGGGAUAAAGGCCCUACUUUUCUGAUUUCUUGGUUCAGCCAGAUGAAGUUUUCAUUAGAUUCAACUUCUCACAUCCAGACACCCACGUGCUGUUCCGAUCUCCAUCCCGUCAGUUUCCACAGUCCCAUUUCGGGAGGCACUGCCGAGGUUGGGAGGGCUGGGGUGCACAAGGCCCCUCUGGCUGCAGGGUCUCAGCUAACCAUGAAUGCUGGUUCUUGCUGUCCAGAUACGGGGUGCUGGGACCCCAUGUUUACUGGAGGCCUGGACUUCAUGCCGUGUCAUGCCUCCCCAGGAGCUGCUGAGCGGAGAACUUACAGCAGCCACACUGCUUCAGAUGGUGGUGAGGAGUUGGGACCCUUGGGUCAGGACAUCUACACCAUGUGGGAACAGCAUGGCCUUGGCUUCUGAAUUUGGCCUCUAGGGAAACCUUAAAGGCCCAGGACGACUGAAAAGUGGCCUCGGAUGGACUGCAGGUGCAGGGAAGGCCUCUUAGUCCAAAGAAUCAGAUGCACAAGGAGCCCCUCUCCUCCCUGGAGGCGGGCGCAACAGAGACCGUGUGCGGACAGAGGAGGCCUUAUACCACCAAUCAGUGUCAUGUUCUGAUUAAGCUGUUGACAACUCUGAUGGGCAGAGAGAUGGGGAAACAUCAGGGCAUCAAGCUGGGAAGUCUUUGAAGGAAUGUGAUUUAUGAAGCUAAUGUCUUUGGCUCCAGCAUUCAUGGCAUGCCUAUUCUGGAAGCCAUCUGAUGGCUUCUUGGCUCUCAGCACACGGUGCUUUUCCCUGAACACUGCUGGCUGGCACCUGUGCGCCGUCCAAGUCUGAUCCGCAGCUAGGCACUUAUGGGGGCUGUGUUUCCAAGCGUUGGUCCCCAGGCGGAGCCUGCCUGCAUGGCACAGUUUGGGACAGGCACACCAGUUCCUUGAGUGCUGUGACCUCUUGGUCUCCCUCAUGUGGUGUUAUGUAACUACAUUGAUUCACUGCAGGCUCUGAACAAUCGUUCACCAUUCCUUCUGGUUAAACCUUAGAAGCCAAAUCAAGUCUCCUUUUUGCCCUCUGGAGUUUAGGAGCCUGAGCCUCCUGCCCGUCCUGGAGAUGGCACCCUUGCAUGGCCCUGAUGGCUUCAGGUAGAAGCUGUGUGCGUUUGGUGAUGAAGCCCUAGGCAGAGACCCUGAGCGUUAGGGUCUGCCUGGCAGAUAUGGUUUUCCCUGGUAGCCUGUCCCGGGUGUGUUUCUGGCACACGCAAUCUCUGACACUUCUGCCAGGACACAGUCAUCUGCUUCCCGGUGCCUGGCUGGAGUCUCUCAUCGGCAAACAGGCCCUAAUUUGCCAGUGGCACAUGGUGUGUAGAACUCUUUCCAGUGACCCAGAAGACAACUAGGACUGUUCCAGAGAGGAGGAAGCAAUGUGCUCCUGCUACCCAGGCUUUGGGGCAAGGAGCCCCCUUAGACAGAACACCGAGGCUGUGGGCCAGCGGCAGAAGCAUUUGGACUCUGGCCACCCUUUCAAGUCAAGAGUCCUCCCUAGGGUCUUUCUGGAAGUGAUAACUAAGUGACAGGAAGAAGGCAGAGAUUUAGGAAGCCGACCCUCUCUGUCUUCUCCGAUUGCUGGCCCUCUCUGAAUAAAGCGGUGCUAAUUCUC